UUGGUUACAUGAACAAGUUCUUUAGUGGU
rnacentral:piRNA from 1 species